CCUCGUGCCACGAGAUUCACUACAACGGCUUCGACGCUCGCGUCUCUCGGCCCCUCAACCACCAGUCCCGACGAGGUUCGAGCUUCUCCUCUGCCUGACUCCGCCUUGAAGUAGACAUGGCUGACGCACAAGGUAAUGACGACCAGAAGCAGCAGCAGCAACACCAGGAGGACCCAGAUCCCGAGAAUCGCUACGCAUACGGCUGGUACCAGCCCUACAACCCCGAGAACGAAGUGGCACCCAUUGUUGAAGCCCAGAAAGAAGGUUCCCCCGGGGCUCAGAGGAGUCACGUGUCCACUUUACG